rnacentral:rRNA from 1 species
UCAAAAACAUGUCUUUAAGAUAAUAAUUUAAAGUYUGAUYUGCUCCAUGAUUUAAUGAUUAAAUAGCUGCAGAAUUUUAACUGUACAAAGGUAGCAUAAUCAAUAGUUUUUUAAUUAAAAGCUGGAAUGAAUGAUUUGAUAAGGUAGAUGUUGUCUCAAAUUUAAUAAGGUUAUAAUUUUUUUUUUAGUAAAAAUACUAAAUUGAAUUUAAAAGACGAGAAGACCCUAUAGAUUUUUAUAUAAUAUUUUAAUUUAAUUAAAAAUUUAAAAUUUUAAUUUAUAAUAAAUAUAUUAGGUUGGGGUAAUUAUUAAAUUAGUUAAAUUUUAAUUAAUUUAUAACAAAAAUUAUUGAAUUUGUGAACUUAAAAUUUUAAAUUAAAAGAAUAAAAUACCUUAGGGAUAACAGCGUAAUUUUUUUGGAUAGUUCAAAUUGAUAAAAAAGUUUGCGACCUCGAUGUUGAAUUAAGAUAAAAUUUUAAUGAAGGAGUUAAAAAUUUUUGGUCUGUUCGACCAUUAAAAUCUUACAUGAUCUGAGUUCAAACCGGAGA